rnacentral:lncRNA from 1 species
GGUAUGUCUUCUGAAGUACUAGGUACUCUUCUGGAUGCCAUUUGCCUUGGCGGUAGAGUUCACCCUUGAGCCAUGUUUUAAAAUGUAAAAAUAUGCAUAGAGAGAGGGAUAACAGGUAUCUGAGAAUAUCUGUAGACCUUUACGUGAAGAAUCUUCUGCACUGACAUUUCUUACAGGGUGGCUGGAAAAAAUCACAUCCCUCUUUCCACUCUGUCACUGACAGGUGUUGCAUAUUAUGAAACUAAAUAUCUAAGUGCUUAACACUGUGUAGGGAUUCUAGACUAUGACAUGCAUUCCUAGCAUCCAAUGUCUAAAGCUUUUUAUAGUUCCUGCCUGGUGUGUGUCUCUGGAGCCAAAAGGAAGGUUAAGUGGUUUUGCUUCCUCUGAUAUCAGACAAAGCUUUCAGUGAACAACUUUCAGGGCUUGUAUUCAAAGGAUAUCUGAGAUGGGACCUUGCAUGACCAGACUAGCAGGAGUGGGUUUGCUGUCCUGGUGUAUUUCUGCAGGGCAGUGCCCUGCAAAGCUGAGUAGGAAGGUUCAGCACUGCCCUGUCACAGCUUGGCUGAGCAGUGAUUAGGUUUUCAUUCCCAAAUGUGUCAUCUGUGAGAUUUGCAGGCCAUUUCCUUGAUAUAAGGGGGAAACUAGAGGAAAGUUGUGAUUAAACUGCUGAAGUGAUUGAUGUAGGCAGUUGCUGUGAUCCUGGCCCAUGGCCAACAUCACUGGGAAGCUGCAGUGCCUGGAAGCACAGGAAGCACAGGGAUAUGGAGCAAACAGUGACAAUCUGCCAAUUUCAUCUGUGAAUGUAUGGACUCAGGAGACAGGCUAUCAUCUCUUGGAGGAAGCAGUUAUGGGACAGUGUGUGUCAGCUGGAAGAUGAAGGGCCCUGUGCUCCUUUAAAGAGGCUGAUGUGGCUCCAGCACAGUGACACCAGCGCCAGUGAGGGUCAGGCAAACCCAGGGACAGACUGGAU